rnacentral:rRNA from 1 species
ACGAAACUUUAAUGGUGCUCCUGGCGCCCCUGAUGGAUGAGCCUGCGGCGCAUUAGCUAGUUGGUACGGUAAAGGCCUACCAAGGCGACGAUGCCUAGCCGACCUGAGAGGGUGAACGGCCACACUGGGACUGAGACACGGCCCAGACUCCUACGGGACGCAGCAGUACGGAAUCUUCGGAAAUGGGCGAAAGCCUGACCGAGCAACGCCGCGUGAAUGAUGAAGGCCUUCGGGUUGUAAAAUUCUGUUAUGAGGGAAGAACGACUUUAGUAGGAAAUGGCUAAAGUGUGACGGUACCUUAUGAGAAAGCCACGGGUAACUACGUGCUAGCUGCCGCGGUAAUACUUAGGUGGCAAGCGUCAUCCCGAAUUACUGGGCGUAAAGAGCCGCGCAGGUGGCUGAUUAAGUUUGAUGUGAAGCCCCACGGCUUAACCGUGGAGGGUCAUUGGAAACUGGUCGACCUGAGUGCAGAAGAGGGAAGUGGAAUUCCAUGUGUAGCGGUGAAAUGCGUAGAGAUAUGGAGGAACACCAGUGGCGAAGGCGGCUUUCUUGGUCUGUAACUGACACUGAGGCGCGAAAGCGUGGGGAGCAAACAGGAUUAGAUACCCUGGUAGUCCGCGCUGUAAACGAUGAUUACUAGGUGUGGGGAAUGACCUUUUCCGUGCCGCAGUUAACACAAUAAGUAAUCCACCUGGGGAGUACGGUCGCAAGACUGAAACUCAAAGGAAUUGACGGGGGCCCGCACAAGCAGUGGAGUAUGUGGUUUAAUUCGAAGCAACGCGAAGAACCUUACCAGGUCUUGACAUCCUAGGAAUCUUUAAGAGAUUAGAAAGUGCCCUUCGGGGAACCUAGAGACAGGUGGUGCAUGGUUGUCGUCAGCUCGUGUCGUGAGAUGUUGGGUUAAGUCCCGCAACGAGCGCAACCCUUAUCUUUAGUAGCCAGCAUUUAAGAUGGGCACUCUAGAGAGACUGCCAGGGAUAACCUGGAGGAAGGUGGGGAUGACGUCAAAUCAUCAUGCCCCUUAUGAUCAGGGCUACACACGUGCUACAAUGGCGUAAACAAAGAGAAGCGAUCCUGCGAGGGGGAGCAAAUCUCAAAAAUAACGUCUCAGUUCGGAUUGUAGUCUGCAACUCGACUACAUGAAGCUGGAAUCACUAGUAAUCGCGAAUCAGAAUGUCGCGGUGAAUAC